GGCUCAGGGAGGUCGGCAACGACCACCCAGAGCCGGAAAGUUGGUCAAACUCGGUCAUUUAGAGGAAGUAAAAGUCGUAACAAGGUCUCCGUAGGUGAACCUGCGGAGGGAUCAUUA
rnacentral:rRNA from 1 species